UUGUAGAGAUACGAGGGUGCCUUCGGGAACUGUGAGACAGGUGCUGCAUGGCUGUCGUCAGCUCGUGUUGUGAAAUGUUGGGUUAAGUCCCGCAACGAGCGCAACCCUUAUCCUUUGUUGCCAGCGGUCCGGCCGGGAACUCAAAGGAGACUGCCAGUGAUAAACUGGAGGAAGGUGGGGAUGACGUCAAGUCAUCAUGGCCCUUACGACCAGGGCUACACACGUGCUACAAUGGCGCAUACAAAGAGAAGCGACCUCGCGAGAGCAAGCGGACCUCAUAAAGUGCGUCGUAGUCCGGAUUGGAGUCUGCAACUCGACUCCAUGAAGUCGGAAUCGCUAGUAAUCGUGGAUCAGAAUGCCACGGUGAAUACGUUCCCGGGCCUUGUACACACCGCCCGUCACACCAUGGGAGUGGGUUGCAAAAGAAGUAGGUAGCUUAACCUUCGGGAGGGCGCUUACCACUUUGUGAUUCAUGACUGGGGUGAAGUCGUAACAAGGUAACCGUAGGGGAACCUGCGGUUGGAUCACCUCCUU
rnacentral:rRNA from 1 species